rnacentral:rRNA from 1 species
UACGUAGGGGGCGAGCGUUGUCCGGAUUUAUUGGGCGUAAAGCGCUCGUAGGCGGUUCGGUAAGUCGGGUGUGAAACCUCCAGGCUCAACCUGGAGACGCCACCCGAUACUGCUGUGACUGGAGUCCGGUAGGGGAGCGUGGAAUUCCUGGUGUAGCGGUGAAAUGCGCAGAUAUCAGGAGGAACACCAGCGGCGAAGGCGGCGCUCUGGGCCGGUACUGACACUGAGGAGCGAAAGCGUGGAUAGCAAACAGG